CACGUAGGGGGCAAGCGUUGUCCGGAUUUAUUGGGCGUAAAGAGCUCGUAGGCGGUUUCGUAAGUCGGGUGUGAAAACUCUAGGCUCAACCUAGAGACGCCACCCGAUACUGCGAUGACUAGAGUCCGGCAGGGGAGUGUGGAAUUCCUGGUGUAGCGGUGAAAUGCGCAGAUAUCAGGAGGAACACCAACGGCGAAGGCAGCACUCUGGGCCGGAACUGACGCUGAGGAGCGAAAGCGUGGGUAGCGAACAGG
rnacentral:rRNA from 1 species